GGUUAAGCGACUAAGCGUACACGGUGGAUGCCCUGGCAGUCAGAGGCGAUGAAGGGCGUGCUAAUCUGCGAUAAGCGCCGGUAAGGUGAUAUGAACCGUUAUAACCGGCGAUACCCGAAUGGGGAAACCCAGUGUGAUCGUCACACUAUCAUUAACUGAAUCCAUAGGUUAAUGAGGCGAACCGGGGGAACUGAAACAUCUAAGUACCCCGAGGAAAAGAAAUCAACCGAGAUUCCCCCAGUAGCGGCGAGCGAACGGGGAGGAGCCCAGAGCCUGAAUCAGCAUGUGUGUUAGUGGAAGCGUCUGGAAAGGCGCGCGAUACAGGGUGACAGCCCCGUACACAAAAGCGCAUGUGCUGUGAGCUCGAUGAGUAGGGCGGGACACGUGGUAUCCUGUCUGAAUAUGGGGGGACCAUCCUCCAAGGCUAAAUACUCCUGACUGACCGAUAGUGAACCAGUACCGUGAGGGAAAGGCGAAAAGAACCCCGGCGAGGGGAGUGAAAAAGAACCUGAAACCGUGUACGUACAAGCAGUGGGAGCACAGGUUUACCUGUGUGACUGCGUACCUUUUGUAUAAUGGGUCAGCGACUUAUAUUCUGUAGCAAGGUUAACCGAAUAGGGGAGCCGCAGGGAAACCGAGUCUUAAUUGGGCGUUAAGUUGCAGGGUAUAGACCCGAAACCCGGUGAUCUAGCCAUGGGCAGGUUGAAGGUUGGGUAACACUAACUGGAGGACCGAACCGACUAAUGUUGAAAAAUUAGCGGAUGACCUGUGGCUGGGGGUGAAAGGCCAAUCAAACCGGGAGAUAGCUGGUUCUCCCCGAAAGCUAUUUAGGUAGCGCCUCGUGAAUUCAUCUCCGGGGGUAGAGCACUGUUUCGGCUAGGGGGCCAUCCCGGCUUACCAACCCGAUGCAAACUGCGAAUACCGGAGAAUGUUAUCACGGGAGACACACGGCGGGUGCUAACGUCCGUCGUGAAGAGGGAAACAACCCAGACCGCCAGCUAAGGUCCCAAAGUCAUGGUUAAGUGGGAAACGAUGUGGGAAGGCCCAGACAGCCAGGAUGUUGGCUUAGAAGCAGCCAUCAUUUAAAGAAAGCGUAAUAGCUCACUGGUCGAGUCGGCCUGCGCGGAAGAUGUAACGGGGCUAAACCAUGCACCGAAGCUGCGGCAGCGACACUAUGUGUUGUUGGGUAGGGGAGCGUUCUGUAAGCCUGUGAAGGUGUGUCGUGAGGCAUGCUGGAGGUAUCAGAAGUGCGAAUGCUGACAUAAGUAACGAUAAAGCGGGUGAAAAGCCCGCUCGCCGGAAGACCAAGGGUUCCUGUCCAACGUUAAUCGGGGCAGGGUGAGUCGACCCCUAAGGCGAGGCCGAAAGGCGUAGUCGAUGGGAAACGGGUUAAUAUUCCCGUACUUGGUGUUACUGCGAAGGGGGGACGGAGAAGGCUAUGUUGGCCGGGCGACGGUUGUCCCGGUUUAAGCGUGUAGGUGUGUGUUCCAGGUAAAUCCGGUUCACUUUAACACUGAGGCGUGACGACGAGGCACUACGGUGCUGAAGCAACAAAUGCCCUGCUUCCAGGAAAAGCCUCUAAGCAUCAGGUAACAUCAAAUCGUACCCCAAACCGACACAGGUGGUCAGGUAGAGAAUACCAAGGCGCUUGAGAGAACUCGGGUGAAGGAACUAGGCAAAAUGGUGCCGUAACUUCGGGAGAAGGCACGCUGACACGUAGGUGAAGUGAUUUACUCACGGAGCUGAAGUCAGUCGAAGAUACCAGCUGGCUGCAACUGUUUAUUAAAAACACAGCACUGUGCAAACACGAAAGUGGACGUAUACGGUGUGACGCCUGCCCGGUGCCGGAAGGUUAAUUGAUGUGGUCAGCGCAAGCGAAGCUCCUGAUCGAAGCCCCGGUAAACGGCGGCCGUAACUAUAACGGUCCUAAGGUAGCGAAAUUCCUUGUCGGGUAAGUUCCGACCUGCACGAAUGGCGUAAUGAUGGCCAGGCUGUCUCCACCCGAGACUCAGUGAAAUUGAACUCGCUGUGAAGAUGCAGUGUACCCGCGGCAAGACGGAAAGACCCCGUGAACCUUUACUAUAGCUUGACACUGAACAUUGAGCCUUGAUGUGUAGGAUAGGUGGGAGGCUUUGAAGCGUGGACGCCAGUCUGCAUGGAGCCGACCUUGAAAUACCACCCUUUAAUGUUUGAUGUUCUAACGUGGACCCGUUACCCGGGUUGCGGACAGUGUCUGGUGGGUAGUUUGACUGGGGCGGUCUCCUCCUAAAGAGUAACGGAGGAGCACGAAGGUUGGCUAAUCCUGGUCGGACAUCAGGAGGUUAGUGCAAUGGCAUAAGCCAGCUUGACUGCGAGCGUGACGGCGCGAGCAGGUGCGAAAGCAGGUCAUAGUGAUCCGGUGGUUCUGAAUGGAAGGGCCAUCGCUCAACGGAUAAAAGGUACUCCGGGGAUAACAGGCUGAUACCGCCCAAGAGUUCAUAUCGACGGCGGUGUUUGGCACCUCGAUGUCGGCUCAUCACAUCCUGGGGCUGAAGUAGGUCCCAAGGGUAUGGCUGUUCGCCAUUUAAAGUGGUACGCGAGCUGGGUUUAGAACGUCGUGAGACAGUUCGGUCCCUAUCUGCCGUGGGCGCUGGAGAACUGAGGGGGGCUGCUCCUAGUACGAGAGGACCGGAGUGGACGCAUCACUGGUGUUCGGGUUGUCAUGCCAAUGGCACUGCCCGGUAGCUAAAUGCGGAAGAGAUAAGUGCUGAAAGCAUCUAAGCACGAAACUUGCCCCGAGAUGAGUUCUCCCUGAGACUUUAAGUCUCCUGAAGGAACGUUGAAGACGACGACGUUGAUAGGCCGGGUGUGUAAGCGCAGCGAUGCGUUGAGCUAACCGGUACUAAUGAACCGUGAGGCUUAACCUU
rnacentral:rRNA from 1 species